rnacentral:lncRNA from 1 species
AUUUGGCAUCUUUGUUCUCUGACUAGAAAGAGGAAUCAUUUGAAGACCAAAAAGCAGGAGCCAGCAUCUCACAGCAUGAUCUGAGACCCCCGUGGAAGCUGCUCUUUUCUUUCUCAUCACAUAGGCUGAGCCACCCGGGACUGUCAGUGCACAAGGACCAGGGACGCGGCUGCUCCUCUGAGGGGGAGGAAGCCAAGAGUAUCUUCUCUUAGAUUGGGCUGAGUUCCCACACAAUACGCAUGUAAAGCAGCACCUUGUAACCUGUGCCCACUGUGCCUACUACUAAAGAAAAAAAAAUGAGAGAAAAAGAAAAAAGGCUUUUUUUUUUUUUUUGGCCCAGGCCCUGUGCCUGGGACCAAAGCCUGAGCCCUUUCCUGCAGUCGGGUCGCUGACCUAAGCCUGGGGCAAAGCUAGGUCUUGGCCAGUCAGCAGCCACCACGUGAAGCAGCCCCUGCCCCCAUCACCCCCGGCAGCCUUGUGCCCUCCUCCUCGGGGUCCUCAGCUCACCCCACCUCAGUCGGGCCUGCUCCAGCGGUUAAGUACCCCUAGUCUGAACCUUAAUCGUGAGGCGGGGCAGCCCCCUCCCCACACCCUGUAGACACUCCCCCGUCCUCCGCCCCCUGGACUUGUUUGGGCGGGAAGAGCCUGCCUCAUCUUUUCUUCCUACCCUCCUACCCAGUGGCCAGGGACCCCAGGCUUCCUCUGAGACAUCCACCAGCGGUGAUGGGUUGGGACCAAUCUCCCCCACUCCUCUCCACCCUAGCAGUAAGGUCCCCGCUCUCGAUACUGCCCCAGCACCUGCACUGGCCCUCUCUGAUUUCCCAACUCCAGCCCAUUCCAAGUGCUGAAGGCGGGUCGCUAGGUGCUGGGACCUGGGCGCGGGGCAAGACCUUGGGCUGUGUGGGGUGCAGGCUGGUUUACUGGGUUCACGAUUGAGGGAGUGGUCUGGGGGUUAGGUGUAGGGCCAGGCUGCGUUGUGCUCUAAGGGGCAGGCGGCAGGCGGUUUGGGGGGGCUGUGGUCAGACAGGGUGGGGUGGCGGUGGGUUUGGGGAAGCCGCAGCAGCCCGCCUUGGGGUCCCGCGAGUGCCGAGGGAGCUGCCGGGGCAUGGUGGCGCGGGGCCCGUGGUCCUGCCCGGCACGACCCCCGCCCCGCAGCGCCCCGCAGCGCCCCGCCCCCGCGGCCCCGCUCGCGACGCGUCUCCCGCGGCGCCCCGAGUCAAAAGCAGUAGGAGGGACCCUGGGGGUUGGCGUAUAGGUGUAGGGGCCCAUGUUGGUUUGGGAGUGAUGACAGUUCACGCCUGUGGGUUUGCGGACAAAGAUACCAUGCCCCAUCCCUGUCUCCCUGUCAGCACGCACUUGGAAGGGCGCUGGGGGUGUUAAUCAGCUUUGCUAGCCUGGGGUGUGCCAGCCUGGGCAGGUGUGCUCUGGUGAUGGACAGAGCGCCUGAGGUUCCAUAGAGGGAGGGUGUUGCUAUGACAUCUGAGAUGUCACCAGCAUGCCCCUGAUGUGUGCUCCUUGCAUGUCCCCAGGUGUGCUAGGCAUGUUCUGUGUGUCCUUGGCAUGUUAACCUGGCAGUAUCAGGGUGCAUGUUCCAUGUGUGGCACGGUGGGCACAUGUUUGAGGAUUGCCCUCACUGAGGUGGGCCUUGGCACACCCCCCUGCCUCGUGGGCCCUUCUCCCAGGUGGUGGACAUCAUGAGGGUGAACGUGGACAAGGUCCUGGAGCGAGACCAGAAGCUGUCGGAGCUGGACGACCGUGCAGAUGCACUCCAGGCGGGGGCCUCCCAGUUUGAAACAAGCGCAGCCAAGCUCAAGCGCAAAUACUGGUGGAAAAACCUCAAGGUAAGGGUGGGGACAGGAAGGAGGACAGGUGGGUGAAUGGGGUAUCAUAGUUUGUCUUACUGAUCCUCGCCUCUCACCCCCAGAUGAUGAUCAUCUUGGGAGUGAUUUGCGCCAUCAUCCUCAUCAUCAUCAUAGGUGAGUAGGGUGAGAAUGGCCGGGGCCCUUUCCCUGGAGAGGUUUCCCCAGUGGAUUCUAGGUUUUGAAGGUCAUUAAUCUAGUUUUUACUCUUCAGCCAAAAACACAUAUAGCUGCUGGAAAAACUGAGUCCAAGAGAGGG